rnacentral:rRNA from 1 species
GUGGGGAAUUUUGCGCAAUGGGCGAAAGCCUGACGCAGCGACGCCGCGUGAGGGAUGAAGGUCUUCGUGAUUGUAAACCUCUGUCAGGAAGGAUUAAAUGUACGGGUGUUAACACCACCUGUACUUGACUUAACUUCCAGAGGAAGCCCCGGCUAACUACGUGCCAGCAGCCGCGGUAAUACGUAGGGGGCAAGCGUUACUCGGAUUCACUGGGCGUAAAGAGAGUUAAGGCGGCUGAGCAAGUCAGAGGUGAAAUCCCUCAGCCUAACUGAGGAACUGCCUUUGAUACUGCUCGGCUUGAGGACAGGAGAGGAAAGUGGAAUUCCCGGUGUAGCGGUGGAAUGCGUAGAUAUCGGGAGGAACACCAGAGGCGAAGGCGGCUUUCUGGACUGGCCCUGACGCUGAUGCUCGAAAGUUAGGGGAGCAAACAGGAUUAGAAACCCUAGUAGUCC